CAGUAGCCACGGUAACACCGAGGAUGCAAGCGUUAUCCGGAAUGAUUGGGCGUAAAGCGUCUGUAGGUGGCUUUUCAAGUCCGCCGUCAAAUCCCAGGGCUCAACCCUGGACAGGCGGUGGAAACUACCAAGUUGGAGUACGGUAGGGGCAGAGGGAAUUUCCGGUGGAGCGGUGAAAUGCGUUGAGAUCGGAAAGAACACCGACGGCGAAAGCACUCUGCUGGGCCGACGUUGUCACUGAGAGACGAACGCUAGGGGAGAAAAUGGGAUUAGAUACCCCCGUAGUCCCUGUCUCUUAUAA
rnacentral:rRNA from 1 species